rnacentral:rRNA from 1 species
UACAGAGGUGGCUAGCGUUGUUCGGAAUUACUGGGCGUAAAGGGCGCGUAGGCGGCUUGGUCAGUCCCGUGUGAAAUCCCUCGGCUCAACUGAGGAACUGCACGGGAAACUGCCUGGCUUGAGUUCGGGAGAGGGAAGCGGAAUUCCGGGUGUAGCGGUGAAAUGCGUAGAUAUCUGAAGGAACAUCAGUGGCGAAAGCGACUUCCUGGACCAAUACUGACGCUCAUGUGCGAAAGCGUGGGGAGCAAACAGG